rnacentral:rRNA from 1 species
UACGGAGGGUGCAAGCGUUAAUCGGAAUUACUGGGCGUAAAGGGCUCGUAGGUGGCCAACUAAGUCAGACGUGAAAUCCCUCAGCUUAACUGGGGAACUGCGUCUGAUACUGGAUGGCUUGAGUUCGGGAGAGGGAAGCGGAAUUCCGGGUGUAGCGGUGAAAUGCGUAGAUAUCCGGAGGAACACCGGUGGCGAAGGCGGCUUCCUGGACCGACACUGACGCUGAGGCGCGAAAGCUAGGGGAGCAAACGGG